rnacentral:rRNA from 1 species
UACGUAGGUGGCGAGCGUUAUCCGGAUUUACUGGGUGUAAAGGGAGCGUAGACGGCUGUGCAAGUCUGGAGUGAAAGGCAUGGGCUCAACCUGUGGACUGCUUUGGAAACUGUGCAGCUUGAGUGUCGGAGAGGCAGGCGGAAUUCCUGGUGUAGCGGUGAAAUGCGUAGAUAUCAGGAGGAACACCAGUGGCGAAGGCGGCCUGCUGGACGAUGACUGACGCUGAUGCGCGAAAGCGUGGGGAGCAAACAGG